rnacentral:tRNA from 1 species
GCGAAAGUGGCGGAAUUGGUAGACGCGCAAGGCUCAGGACCUUGUGAGCGCAAGCUCAUGGGGGUUCGACUCCCCCCUUUCGCA